rnacentral:rRNA from 1 species
AGCAGCCGCGGUAAUUCCAGCUCCAAUAGCGUAUAUUAAAGUUGUUGCAGUUAAAAAGCUCGUAGUUGAAUUUCGGGAUCAAAUUGUUGGUCGUGCCUCGGUACGCACUGGUAUUAUUGGUUCCUACCUUCUGAAGAACCGCGAUGUCAUUAAUUUGGUGUCGUGGGGAAUCAGGACUGUUACUUUGAAAAAAUUAGAGUGUUUAAAGCAGGCUUACGCUUGAAUACAUUAGCAUGGAAUAAUGAAAUAGGACGUUUGAUUCUAUUUUGUUGGUUUCUAGGAUUGACGUAAUGAUUAAUAGGGAUAGUUGGGGGCAUUAGUAUUCAAUUGUCAGAGGUGAAAUUCUUGGAUUUAUUGAAGACUAACUACUGCGAAAGCAUUUGCCAAGGAUGUUUUCAUUAAUCAAGAACGAAAGUUAAGGGGAUCGAAGACGAUCAGAUACCGUCGUAGUCUUAACCAUAAACUAUGCCGACUAGGGAUCGGAUGAUGUUAAUU